AUUCAGCUGAUGAGUCCCAAAUAGGACGAAAUGUACGUCAAACUAGAU
rnacentral:hammerhead_ribozyme from 1 species